rnacentral:rRNA from 1 species
GAUGAACGCUAGCGGGAGGCUUAACACAUGCAAGUCGAGGGGGAGGGCAGCAAUGCCCGAGACCGGCGCACGGGUGAGUAACGCGUAUGCAACCUACCUUCUACAGGGGGAUAGCCCAGGGAAACUUGGAUUAAUACCGCAUAGUUCCUUAAACCUGCAUAGGGUUAAGGAUAAAGAUUUAUCGGUAGAAGAUGGGCAUGCGUGACAUUAGGUAGUUGGGGGGGUAACGGCCCACCAAGCCGACGAUGUCUAGGGGUUCUGAGAGGAUGAUCCCCCACACUGGUACUGAGACACGGACCAGACUCCUACGGGAGGCAGCAGUGAGGAAUAUUGGUCAAUGGGCGCAAGCCUGAACCAGCCAGCCCGCGUGAAGGAUGAAGGCCCUAUGGGUUGUAGACUUCUUUUAUAGUAGAAUAAAGUGACCUACGUGUAGGUUUUUGUAUGUAUACUAUGAAUAAGGAUCGGCUAACUCCGUGCCAGCAGCCGCCGUAAAAC